rnacentral:rRNA from 1 species
CCUACGGGAGGCUGCAGUGAGGAAUAUUGGUCAAUGGACGAGAGUCUGAACCAGCCAAGUAGCGUGAAGGAUGACUGCCCUAUGGGUUGUAAACUUCUUUUAUAAAGGAAUAAAACGAGGCACGUGUGCCUUUUUGCAUGUACUUUAUGAAUAAGGAUCGGCUAACUACGUGCCAGCAGCCGCGGUAAUACGGAGGAUCCGAGCGUUAUCCGGAUUUGUUGGGUUUAAAGGGAGCGUAGAUGGGUUGUUAAGUCAGUUGUGAAAGUUUGCAGCUCAACCGUAAAAUUGCAAUGGAUACUGGCAGUCUUGAGUACAGUUGAGGUAGGCGGAAUUCGUGGUGUAGCGGUGAAAUGCUUAGAUAUCACGAAGAACCCCGAUUGCGAAGGCAGCUUACUAAACUGUGACUGACAUUGAUGCUCGAAAGUGUGGGUAUCAAACAGGAUUAGAUACCCCGGUAGUC